rnacentral:rRNA from 1 species
GGGGAAUAUUGCACAAUGGAGGAAACUCUGAUGGAGCAACGCCGCGUGAGCGAUGAAGGCCUUCGGGUCGUAAAGCUCUGUUGUUAGGGAAGAACAAGUAUCGGAGUAACUGCCGGUACCUUGACGGUACCUAACCAGAAAGCCACGGCUAACUACGUGCCAGCAGCCGCGGUAAUACGUAGGUGGCAAGCGUUGUCCGGAAUUAUUGGGCGUAAAGCGCGCGCAGGCGGUUCUUUAAGUCUGAUGUGAAAGCCCACGGCUCAACCGUGGAGGGUCAUUGGAAACUGGGGGACUUGAGUGCAGAAGAGGAAAGCGGAAUUCCACGUGUAGCGGUGAAAUGCGUAGAGAUGUGGAGGAACACCAGUGGCGAAGGCGGCUUUCUGGUCUGUAACUGACGCUGAGGCGCGAAAGCGUGGGGAGCAAAC